CAUAUCCAUCUUCCUUAUUGUUAUUGUUCAUUUUGCUUAUAUAUCUCUAGUUUCCAUGUGCUGAUCAACAACUGUUGAGAAUAUAAUCAAGUAAACAAAAGCGUGCAUUUCUCUAACAGCUUAAGCUUCUAGAUGAGAUGGUCACCAACUUCAUCAAAAAGCUCUGUAUAUCGAUGCAAAUGUAUCUACUAGUCUUCUAUGCCACCAUUUGAACCUUUUAUGUCCUUAGGCAUAAUAAACAAUUGACUUUGACAGUGUUCUUUUAAUAGCAUUGUCAUGUAUUUGGUGUGAUUAAUGUUUUUCUUUUUUUUGCUUGAUUAAGAAGUUGCAAUGCACGCAGUACCCGAAGUUAUUGCUGAGGUCACGGACUAGUAUUCUGUGCCUGCGCCUGGACCAGUAAACAAGGAAAUGGAUGGAUAAACCACGCGGUGGAAACGCCAGACGAUGGUUGGAGGAGGACGAGCUGAUCCUCCUUGACAUUUUAUAUAAGGGGAAACAUAUGUUCACGUCUGAUAUCAUCCUGGCACAAGAUUGGAGAGACAUUAUCCAUAAGUUUUGGGCUACGUCGAGCAACCGCGAAAGGUAUGAUGAGAAUGCAUCAAACGACAAUAUCAUAGACUUAAAAAGAAUUGGACGGAUUUCAAAGAACUACUCUCGCCAUGCUCGGGAUAUGAACGAGACCAGGAAACUGAUAAAAUUGUUGCUCCUAGUGAUGUUUGGGCAAAUCAUGUGGCAAGAUUCAAUGAUUACAAGAGGUGCGACUAUCAUGGCCUAAAACAUUUUGACAAACUGGAUGAGAUGU